CCGGGCCGCGGGGGCCGGAAAACGCGGGGGUGGAAGUAGCGGGGCCGGGACCGGGAGCGGCGCAGGGGGGGUACGCCCGGGGUCGCCCCUCCAGCACCCCCGCGCACACUCCCACGCACGCGGACACACUCACGCACACGCACCCCGCCGGGCCGGUGCAGACGUGUCCUUGAAAGCUUCGCAUCUGCACAGUGAAGGACGAGGCCUCGCCGCGGCUGCGGAGCGGGGUCUUCGGCCCCACGUCCCCGCACCCCGGGAGACCUCGAGCUUCGGAGCCGCAGGCGGCGGCUGUCCGUGUCCCGCCCUCACCCCAGUUCCCCUCCCCCAGGCCGCCCUGCCUUCCCUCCCCUUCGGCGCGGACCGGGCUGGCGCGGGUCCAGGGCCCGCCCCUGGCCUCCCCCAGCCCCUCAUCGCUGGGGCCCGCGGCCCUGGGGCUGCCAAACUGCUUUUCGCUUUCCUGAAGCCUCCCUUCUUGGGGGCACCCUCUCCCACCCCAGCGCCCCUCUGCCAUUUCUCCCCCUCUCCUCAUCCCCUCCGUCCUGGCACCCUCUCUCCGCUGCACGGCCAGUUGAGGAGGUGUUGGCGCCCUGGGCGGGGAGCAGUGCCCUCUGGUUCCCAGGGGCUGCCUCCCCCGGCUCCUGAGGGGAGCCCCCUGCGGCUGCACCUUGACCCAACAUGGCGUCUGGCACCCAGCAGGGCAGCUCUGGCCUGCGGCAGGCGGGAGGGUGGGCAGGGCCGAGCCCCAGGGCCGCGCAGCUACCCCCCCUCCAAACCAGCGGGGACAGAAGCCUUGGGGAGAAGCGCUGUCCGCCCUGUGACCCAACUUGCCCCUCACUGCCGUGCCCAGAGACUGCCAUCAGCAUCCCUGAGGGCCUGCUCAGUCUUCAUGUUUCACCCUAGGCUGCCAGCGGCUGAACCCGCCUCCUGGGCGGGCGGCUACGAAGGGAUCCUGGGAUCAGGUGCUGCUCCAGUGUCGCCUCCUCCCUCGCGGGCAGAUGUGACAGCUGCAGCCAGGGGAGCUAUUCGCCUUGCUAUUGCCUGGGUGUUAGGACUGGCCUGUGGGAUUUGGGGGGCCAGGCAUCCCGGGGACCCUCUUUGGUUGGCUAGCAGGGGCCAUCUCCAGGUAGUUUUCUGAGCUGCCUGCCUUUGGAGAGUUGGGUUGUAGGGAGUUCCUGCUGGGUUUCUGGGGCAAAAUGGUCCCCCUCUGCCUCCAGGUUCUACCGAGGCCCUGCUUGGGCUGUGACAGGUGGCUCUGUCAAGGUGGGAGUCUGUGUGUGCACAUGUGCUGGCUCCAGGCGAGGGACCAGGCUGGCCUGUGCAGCAGCUCUGGCACCUGCCUGCCUCCCUGGUGGGUCCCCCUCCUCUGUGCAGCUCCUCCCCAGAUAAGCAGCUGCGGAUUCAGGCCGACCAAACUUCCCUCGUUACCCCACCCAGGCACCAGUGCCUUCCAUAGGAGACUGACCCUAAGAAAGGUGAAUUCCUUCUAGACUCAAGGAGUGGACUGGUCCACAGGGCUGCCCUCUGAGUCCUUCCUGGAGAAGCCUAGGAAAGGACGCCAGCAGCCAUCUGUCAGGGUGUCUGCGGACAGGAUUCCUCUGUGGGGUGGGGGUUGGACUAGAGCCGGAAGGUCCAUUCCAGCUUUGACAUUCUAUGGCUCUGAUUCUAGUGGUGGAAUUUCAGGCCUAGCAAUGGGGACAGGGUGGUCUGUUUUUCGGCACAUGGCAGUAAUAGGGGAAGGCUUCCAAGGAGAAGGAGAUAUGAGAGAGAUCAGGGCGCCCAGCGAGUUGGGCCUUGGGAAGGAGAGGCAGUGUGAGGAGGGUCCCUGCAAGAGACGGGUUGGUCACGUCCGACUCUGCAGAGGGUGUAAAAAGUACAGCCUCCUUUAAGCCUCGGCACGUGUGUAUCCUGUAGGUUUGUGUAUAAAUCCCUGUGUGUGGAUAAUUUCUGAGGUUUCCUUUUCAAGUCCAAUUCACAGUAAGCUCCUCAGUCCCUUAUGGAUGUUUUACUAUCGCUUUCACACCCACCUCUGCCAGUGGUUCUCAAAAAGCUAGGAAGACAGGACAAACGGUAAAAUCCUUGUCCAGGGUCACCGGCAGGAAGAAGUGGAGCCAGGCCUGCACUCGGGGGAAGAUGCCCCAUGCUAUACCUCUUACCUGGGCUGCUGCAUGUGUCUGUCCCCGCUCUCAGUUUGUGAUCUCCAGGAAACAGGGGCCUUGCCUCCCUGGGUCCCCAUUGGACAAGCGGUGAGGCCUCCGAGGGUGUCUGCUGAGCGAGGGGAGCGCACUGCCCUCCAGUCCUCUCCCCGAGGCAGCGAGGCAGGUUAGUGCUGGGCUCCCUUCCCCCUGCUGCUGUGCGCCGCUGCCCAGCGGCCACUGCCUACUUACAGGCCAGCUCCUCAGGGUCACACCUCCCUGAAAGACCCAAGUUCUUUCCCAGCAAGAGCCAGACUCCCCCAAGGCUUCUCUUUUUGGGAUCCAGGUAGAAAGAGGACUCUAAUGGGUGAGUUAAAACAGACCACCCUCUCCCCAUCUUUGGGCCCGAAAUGUCAGCAUUAGAACCCAAACCUUAGAAUUGCAGUCUGAAAGAGGAGUUUAAGCUCUGAGAGCUCUUAGUGCUGGGUACGGGACUGUUUGUGGGAGGUGGUGCCCAGUUCUUCCCAGGGUUGUCCAUGCUACCCAGAGCCUGAGGCCUGGAGGGCCAUUCACGUGCCAGUCACAUGCCUCUCCCAGGGUACUUCCUGCUGCCUCCAACUUGCUGGCCUGGGGUCCUGGACUUGGUGCUCGUAUCCUCCCCACCCCGUGCCCCACUGGGAGUUGAGUGUGUCUCUGGCCUCCAGCAGGUAGGGCCAGAGCAUCUACCCCAAUGCCAUUCCCCAUGCUGCGGCCCUCGGGGAAUAGCUUCUACUUUUGUUUGAAUAUUAGUAUGUGAGCAGAGAGCCCGUCAGAAGCCCACCUGGCCUGAGGCUGGGUUUCUGCAGGGACUUUGCUGUUCCUGAGCAGGGCUUUAAUGGUCUACUAAAGGUGCCAGAUCCCUUUCCACUUUAAUUUUGAGGGCUCAUUUUCAAUCAUUUCUCUCUGACGAUUUUUCCCUAAGAACAUGACCAAAUCUGAGAUCCAUGAAGUGUCAGCCUGAGAUUUAUGUCUGUAUCCGAGCCUGCCUCCACUUGGCUAAGUGUGUGGGCAAGACGAGGUUCAGUGCACAUGUGUCUGUGCAUGAUGUGUGUGUACGUGGUGUGCCGCCACCUGUGGAUGGGUAGGACUUGCUUCCACAUGAGCCAGUGUCAAGGCAGCUUGAGGCCCUCGAGUCACAGGGAGCUGCACUCUGACACCUCCCAGCGGCAGGAACUUGGGCAACAACUCGAUUCCCUGGGCCUCAGUUUCCUCACCUGUAACAUGGGAGUGUGCGUGGAUUCUGCUUACAGGUGGUUGUGAGGAUGGAGUGAGAUCAUGUGCGUUACAGCCUUAGAGGAGCGGGAGCCCUCCUGUUAGCUGUGUCUGUUUUCAUCAUUUGGGUGGCUCACGUGGACUAGCACUGCAGGAAGUGCUCUAAGAAGCCUCGUCCACCUUCCUGUGUCUUUUGCAGAAUCUUGGUCAGAUGAGGAAAGUGCCGAUUCUGAUUAAAAAUCCUGGGAGGUGGGAGGCUUCUCAGCGACACUUAGCAAUCUGUUGAGUUGAACAAAUCUCGUGUCAACAGGUUGUUUUGCUUCCACCUGAAAUCCCUCCCGCUGUAGUUUCAGCUCGUUAUUCUCAUCCUGUCUUGAGUGCAGCAGCACUUUCCCACCGUAUUCGCUUCCAUUUUCCAGAGAUGUGCUGAGCAUUUCCUGUAAGCCAUGCCCUGUGCUGGCUUUGAGGGGACACGGUGUGUUUAGGAUGCGCCCAGCUAACGAAGAACUGCAGAGUGGGACUGGGGUCACUGGAGAGGGAGAAAUAAAGUGCUCAAAGGAGAGUGAGGUCACAACCAACUAAGGUCAUCAGGGAAGGCUUCUUGAAGGAGGUGGCAUCUCAGAAGCGCCCCAGAGCACAGAAGUGGGGCUUCAGGGGCAGGACAUCAUUGUGGGUGGCUGUAGUGCCCGGGAGGUGGACUGGGGCCUGGGUUGUGCUGGAGGCCAGGCUGAGGCCCUGCCUUGGUUUGGGGAGGAGAUCCCUGCACUCCGGAACUCCUCUGUGGCCCACGGAGGAUCGCUCUGAACUGCCUCAGCGUGGCGGCCAGUGGGGGUAGGGGUGGAGAGAGGACAGCAGGGAGGGAGGGGAAGGGGCCAAAUGAGCUCAUUUGGUGUCGGAUCCUGAUUCUUUCUAUUCCAUAGACCAGAGCUUAAGAGCUCAGACUUGGAGAGCAACAGAACAGGGUUUAAAUUACACUGACCCCAGGGGGUUGUGACGAUUAAGGGGGAGGCCAGGGUCAGGUCUGGUCUGCGAGCGAGUGAUAGCAGUCAUGGUUGAGGAUGUGGCAGGUGGAGAAGGGUCCCUUUUCUGGCCUCCCAGAGGUCUCCAUGUCCCCCCUUGCCCACUCCAUCAGGCUGAGGCGCCCCAGCAUCCAGAACAUUCCUGCAAGGGGCUGCCAGUGCCAGGGAAAUGGGGGUGAAGACGUCAGGUUCCUGUCUCUGCAGCCUGACCCUGUCCCCCAACACACACGCUGGGCAGAACCGAGCCACCAACCCAGAGGGGAGGUGCCCUGCAGACGGCCCAGGCCCCCAGGCAUGAGUGCAGGUGCCUGGCAGCCCCCUGCAAGAACAGCUGGUGGGCAGGGCCUUCUGGGCCAAAUCUCCCUUGCUGAUCACAUCACAGGCCACCAACCUGUCUGGAGGACAGCAAGGGUGCUUGGUGGGCAGUGGAG
rnacentral:lncRNA from 1 species